rnacentral:misc_RNA from 1 species
GAUGAAGAACGCAGCGAAAUGCGAUACGUAAUGCGAAUUGCAGAAUUCAGUGAAUCAUCGAAUCUUUGAACGCAUAUUGCGCUCUUUGGUAUUCCGAAGAGCAUGCUUGUUUGAGUAUCAGUAAACACCUCAACCUCUUCUUGAUUUUUCAAAAGGAGGGUGGACUUGAGCUAUCCCAACAACCUUUACCGGUCGGCGGGCGGCUUGAAAUGCAGGUGCAGCUGGACUUUUAUCUGAGCUAAAAGCAUAUCUAUUUAGUCCUCGUCAAACAGGAUUAUUACUUUUGCUGCAGCUAACAUAAAGGAUAAUUGUCCUCUUUGCUGACUGAUGCAGGAUUUUACGACACUUUAUGUGUUGUUCAACUCGAUCUCAAAUCAAGUAAGACUACCCGCUGAACUUAAGCAUAUCAAUAAGCGGAGGA